rnacentral:rRNA from 1 species
UUUGGUGGUUUUAGCGGGGGGGUCCCACCUCUUACCAUUCCGAACAGAGAAGUUAAGCCCUCCAGCGCUGAUGGUACUAGGCGUAAGCCUGGGAGAGUAAGUCGCUGCCAAUU